CGGAGGGAGGGGGCCGCCUGGCGAUCCGCCGCCGGCCGCUGGUUCUAGGGACCUGAUCCCCUAGGCGCGAAGGGAAGAGGGGGUCGACAGUGCCCCCGGACAGCUAAAGAGCGGGGAAAGAUGCGGGGCCGAUCUUGAGCCGCCCCUCUCGGAAGCCGGUCCCGAUCCGCCCUGCCCUCGGGUCCUGCGGCCGAGUCAGUCCUCUUGGACGCAAGGCCCCAACUCCGCAGUGCCCGUUCCUCUCCCUUCGGGCCUCGAGGGCUGGGGUUGGCGGGAUCGCCCUGUGCGGGUCUCUCCGGCUCUCGCUCUUCCUCGUGCCUAGGUUGUCCUCGGCUGCGGAGGGCGACUUUCGGGCUGGUUUUGAUUUCUCAGCGGUGGCUUCCGCGGUUUAUUAGUGGUGGUUCUUAAUCGCUUUUGUGAGCAUCUCUAUUCCUUUGGAGGAAAUGGGCACAAAAAAUGGGACAAACGUCUGCUGCCAGGAAAGUGCACGUCCCUCGGAGUCGGUGCGCAAAGCACACUCGGGGCUGAACUCCUCAGAGUAGGUGGAAACCGACUUCUAAGAAAACGUGCUUGGGACCAGGGCUUUGCUUAGCGGGCAUGUCCAGCUGCUGCCUAACCAGUCUGUUGUAGGGGUGGUACAGCAAGGCUGCCAUGGAAAUCCUAAGUAGGGUAACAAUUCCUAGGUCCAGACUUUGGGGAAGGACAUCUCUUAGAACGCCCCAGCGAACAGUCAUGCUAGCUGGGGGACUCUGGGAUGCACAGUGGUACCCCCCCCUCCAAAAAAAUUCUCAACUCCUGCUGAAAGGCAUCAGGGCCUUCCACUUUUCUGCAAGGCAGCUCUUGUGUCUGAAGCAGAAGCAACUCUGUUUGGAACCCAAGGUCUGUCCCUGCCCUCCACCUCCAGUCCACGUAGGGCGAUCUUUACAACAGCAACAGCAGCCACUGCCACAACAACAAUGAGAUCCACUCCACAGAAGAGUCUCCGUUUCCUUAUAAAGAAUUGUUUCCUGACUUGUACUAACCAAUUACGAAAAGUCACAGCCAUGCGUUUCAAGCCAUGGCUUUAGAAUACAUACGCACAGGUAAGAAAUGGGUCUUCGAUUCAGCUUCAGGUGGCAUUUUUGGGGACUCCACCACGCCACCCCAAAUGAAAUAGCUUCCAAGUGCAAUGCUGUACAUCCCCCUUCCACACUUGAGGCAGUCUCAGCACUGAGACCUUUUGGGCUUCCCUCUGCAAGAGAGAACCAUCACCGGGUGCCUUCCCGCUCCAAACUGAUGACAGAGACAUGAUCGCUAAUUGAGCCUCCAUUCCAAAGAGCAAGAUACCUGGGCCAUCUAGUUGCUCUGGGAGAAUGAGAGGGACGGCCAGGGGCAAACCUGGUCGAGCCCCCUAGCUGGCUGCUUCCAGAACCGAUAUGGAGAGGCUAGACUGAUCCUUGAGCCAGAACAAGCCAAGCCAACUCUUCUGUUCCUAGUCAGUAUUUAUUUUUAAAUCAAAUAAAUACUUCAGAGUUUUCCUGUUGUUAAAUUUC
rnacentral:lncRNA from 1 species